AUUGAACGCUGGCGGCAUGCCUUACACAUGCAAGUCGAACGGCAGCACGGACUUCGGUCUGGUGGCGAGUGGCGAACGGGUGAGUAAUGUACCGGAACGUACCUUUCAGUGGGGGAUAACGUAGCGAAAGUUACGCUAAUACCGCAUAUUCUGUGAGCAGGAAAGCAGGGGACCGCAAGGCCUUGCGCUCUUUGAGCGGCCGAUGUCAGAUUAGCUAGUUGGUGAGGUAAAGGCUUACCAAGGCGACGAUCUGUAGCGGGUCUGAGAGGAUGAUCCGCCACACUGGAACUGAGACACGGUCCAGACUCCUACGGGAGGCAGCAGUAGGGAAUUUUGCGCAAUGGGCGAAAGCCUGACGCAGCGACACCGCGUGGAGGAUGAAGGUUUUCGGAUCGUAAACUCCUUUUGGCAGGGAGAAAAUGACGGUACCUGCAGAAUAAGCACCGGCUAACUACGUGCCAGCAGCCGCGGUAAU
rnacentral:rRNA from 1 species